CCCAAGACAGAAAUGCAAUCACAUUAGCUGUUCGCCAAAGCGAGGGAAAUAUGGCUCCACCUCUUCCACACACACGAAUACAAACACAGUUACCGUAAAGACAGCGACUCUCUCUGCUUGCACAACUCCAGCUCACGUUCUCCAUUUCGGAAUCCAAACACUCCUGCUGCCACCUCAGCUCCAAAGAUGAUCACCAAACAGGCAAAGAACUGGAAAAGAUGCAUAAAUGACGGCACUGAGAUUCUCGAACCGCUCCACAGCAUCCGAAGAAACCCACCAGCAUCACCAGACUUCCUGCACCUAUCAGGAUGUACACACCUGGAAAGGCAAGGACAACACAAGCCUAAAACUGCAACCCAAAACGAUCAGGAUUCAUCGAGAUCAUCAAGGAGUUUUAAGAAGCUUCAGGUAAGACGAUUCGCAUCCCCAUAGACGCCCCGAUCGCCCAUUAAAGCUCUCAUUAUGUAUAUCGUGGGUGCGGCCACUGCACAAGACUGUUUGUGUGUUGCUAAGAGACACUCGGGCAGCCGCCCGGUAACGUGGGCUCGGGUGGGAACAAAUAAGAACAAAACAGAGACGUCAUAAAUUCGGCGGGAUG